rnacentral:rRNA from 1 species
AAUACGUUCCCGGCCUUGUACACACCGCCCGUCACACCACGAAAGUCGGCAACACCCGAAGCCGGUGGCCCAACCCUUUUGGGAGGGAGCCGUCGAAGGUGGGGUUGGCGAUUGGGGUG